CCUACGGGAGGCAGCAGUGAGGAAUAUUGGUCAAUGGGCGCGAGCCUGAACCAGCCAAGUAGCGUGAAGGAUGAAAGCCCUACGGGUGGUAAACUUCUUUUAUAAAGGAAUAAAGUGAGGCACGUGAGCCGUUUUGUAUGUACGUUAUGAAUAAGGAGCGGCUAACGCCGUGCCAGCAGCCGCGGUAAUACGGAGGAUCCGAGCGUUAUCCGGAUUUAGUGGGGUUAAAGGGAGCGUAGAUGGGUUGUUAAGUCAGUUGUGACAGUUUGCGGCUCAACCGGUAAAUUGCACUUGAUACUGGCAGCCUUGAGUUCAGUUGCGUUCGGCUGCAUUCGUGGUGUAGCUGUGCACUGCUUAGAUCUCACG
rnacentral:rRNA from 1 species